AGGAAGUCGACGAGCUCUGGACAGAAAAAGAUCCAGGGCAGUUUUGGCUGCAUUCACCACGUCGGUCUCCUCUUCUGAUGUGAAAAGAACAGCCAUAUCUUCAAAUACAGCUGUUGCCUCUUCUAGAUGUGUGCUGUUUAACAACAAGGCAAAGCAAAGGACACUUGAAAUUAGUCCCCAACUGAAGUCCGUCUCCACUUGAUGGACAUGGCAUGAUGUUAUUUGACCAAGAGCCCUUAAUGUUUGCAUCAGCCAGUAUGUCAAGGUUGGAAUUGAGUGCUGAUUUGAUACAAGCUCACUAACUGGUAGUGGCGGCAUGUUUUUGCCCAUUCCUGGCAGUACAAGUGCAUAGUAGAGCACUCUUUUGGGCUGACUGGUAAUGCGGGAGAUAACGCUACCUGUGGCAUCCAGGUGAAGUGU